AUUAUUUCGCGCGUUUCGCGUCGUUGUUGGCACGCGAGUUUCCGUGAUUUCCGCAUGAAAAAGUAGUCUCGCGUACGAAUAAACGUCGGGAGUGUUGACUAAAGUACGGAAUAAAGUACCGAGUAAUGCUAAACGUCGUCCUAAAAGUGGUUAAUCGACGCGCGCGACAAUAGGUAACGCGAAUAAACCGCCGCCGCCAUUUGUGCCAAACAUUGCCGUAUUCGUUGUAUGUCCAUUGGUUCGAAAUCGUGCGUUUGACACGUUCCGUCAAUAACAUAAUCGGUUAAUCGUCGCGUGUACACCUUUAUAUAUCGUUUUCUCGCUACAUCGCGCAUUGUGCAAUCGGGUAUUAAAAGUGUCGGCCGGCCUGUCGAAUAGACGAAUUAAUUCAAAUGUCGCAGAUUUAUUUAAUGGAGUUGAUGAAAGGCAAUGCCAGAUGAUUCGUGAUAUGAUUGCAAGAUAUAGUUGAGAUGCACAUGAUACAAGCGUCGAUUAUGGAUAAGAAACAAUCCUGGAUUUUAUUUCCUAUUGGACUAGAUUCCUAAGUCCGGUGCUUCAAUGAAAGUGUAAAACGACAAUUCGACAUACUUGGUCGCAACCUGGGCGUGCGGAUUUCGAAAUAUCCUGAUAUUCUGCCCGAUGUUUCUACGGAAGAGAUUGGUUCAAAGACGGUACGCAGAAGCCAAUGUGAUUGUAUGUGGAUACGAAGGGGAUUGCGGCAGGUCACGUCGCGCUUCACUUAAAACAAGUAAAGGCCGUGGCAAAACCGUAGGAUGGAACCAGUGGGUAAACGGAUAAACCUAAGCCGAAGGAUCUCUGUCCUUCUCCAUGAUGCGUCUGGCCUAUACGUGCUCAACG